AUGACCAGGCUAGGUUGGGCCGCCACUGAAGGUAGCCACAUGCUGAGGCUAAGACGCCAGCCCAGACCACCCACGACCCACCAACGCACGCGCAGCAGCCGGCCCUCCUACCAGGGCACAACAUCUCCGAAGGACCUCCUCGUCGCCUUCACCAGGGCACAACAUCUCCGAAGGACCUCCUCGUCGCCGACGGCACUGUGCAGGCUUUGCCCGGCGGUGUACCAUGGCGGCGCGGAGAGGAGAAGAGGUGAUCUAGGUUUUCUUAUGGAGGCGGGUGAAGAGCAGAAUCAUACCUCAACCUAA
rnacentral:rRNA from 1 species